rnacentral:rRNA from 1 species
UACAGAGGGUUCGAGCGUUAAUCGGAAUUACUGGGCGUAAAGCGUGCGUAGACGGUUAUGUAAGUCAGGUGUGAAAGCCCCGGGCUCAAGCUGGGAAUUGCAUUUGAGACUGCAUAGCUAGGGUGCGGAAGAGGGAAGCGGAAUUUCCGGUGUAGCGGUGAAAUGCGUAGAUAUCGGAAGGAACAUCAGUGGCGAAAGCGGCUUCCUGGUCCAGCACCGACGUUCAGGCACGAAAGCGUAGGGAGCAAACAGG